CCUCGGCGGCGGUGGCUAUGAAUGUAGUGCCCUGGUCAGCGCAUGAAGACAUCGAUUGUUCUCAGUCGUCGGUUUCGCGCUGUCGUGGGUUGACGUGUGUGUGUGUUGUGCUUCUUGUUUCAUGCUAAUUACCACAUGGAGGUGGAACCCCUGUAGCUGACCAAAAAGGCCAGGACUGUCAGAUGCGAUAUAUGAAUUGGUUCAAGUUCUUCAAACAGAGCUGACCCAACAGAAGGCCUCUGGUGGCACACUGUAAUCAAGUGCGCCACUCCCACAGGAUUGGCCUUUUGCAUUCAUGUCUGAAUGCUGUCCAGGGCAUCCCACAGGCACCAGCUGCAUGACGAUGCCCCACCCCACGGAUUGUCUUAUGCCAACAGUGUGCUCCCGUAGGGAACUAUAGACACUAGAAGAUGGACUGUGGUCAUGCUAAGGAAUUCUUCAGUAGCUUCAUGGUGCACUAGAGAAGAAGCAGCAGACCUGGACGAAGUAAACAAACGGCCCUUGUCAGGGCCACCAUAUGUUUGCCAGAAUGGCUAGCGUUCUGCUGGUAGAAGAAACCCUGACGGUGAUAGAAGAUCACUGAACUAACCAUAACUCAAGCAUGAUGGCUACAACAGUGCUGAUAGAAAACAAUCAUUACAGUUGCAAAUGCCAUACAUUUCACUAAGCACUGUAUUUUUGAUGACAGUAAUAUUUAGAGUUGAA